AACGUAGGUGGCAAGCGUUAUCCGGAAUUACUGGGCGUAAAGGGUGUGCAGGCGGGGAAGCAAGUGGUGUAUGAAAUAUCCCAGCUUAACUGGGAGGGGUUAUGCCAGACUGCUUUUCUAGAGGACGAGAGAGGGGGGUGGAAUUCCGGGUGUAGUGGUGAAAUGCGUAGAGAUCCGGAGGAACCCCAGAGGCGAAGGCGGCCCCCUGGCUCGUACCUGACGCUCAGCCACGAAAGCAUGGGGAGCGAACGGG
rnacentral:rRNA from 1 species